rnacentral:rRNA from 1 species
GAUGAACGCUGGCGGCGUGCCUAAUACAUGCAAGUCGAGCGAACAGACCAGGAGCUUGCUCCUCUGACGUUAGCGGCGGACGGGUGAGUAACACGUGGAUAACCUACCUAUAAGACUGGGAUAACUUCGGGAAACCGGAGCUAAUACCGGAUAAUAUAUUGAACCGCAUGGUUCAAUAGUGAAAGACGGUUUUGCUGUCACUUAUAGAUGGAUCCGCGCCGCAUUAGCUAGUUGGUAAGGUAACGGCUUACCAAGGCAACGAUGCGUAGCCGACCUGAGAGGGUGAUCGGCCACACUGGAACUGAGACACGGUCCAGACUCCUACGGGAGGCAGCAGUAGGGAAUCUUCCGCAAUGGGCGAAAGCCUGACGGAGCAACGCCGCGUGAGUGAUGAAGGUCUUCGGAUCGUAAAACUCUGUUAUUAGGGAAGAACAAAUGUGUAAGUAACUAUGCACGUCUUGACGGUACCUAAUCAGAAAGCCACGGCUAACUAC